rnacentral:rRNA from 1 species
GAUGAGUUCUCCCUGAGACUUUAAGUCUCCUGAAGGAACGUUGAAGACGACGACGUUGAUAGGCCGGGUGUGUAAGCGCAGCGAUGCGUUGAGCUAACCGGUACUAAUGAACCGUGAGGCUUAACCUUACAACGCCAAAGAAGU